rnacentral:rRNA from 1 species
ACGGGAGGCAGCAGUGGGGGAUAUUGCACAAUGGGGGAAACCCUGAUGCAGCAACGCCGCGUGAAGGAAGAAGGUCUUCGGAUUGUAAACUUCUGUUUUUAGUGAAGAAACAAAUGACGGUAGCUAAAGAGGAAGCCACGGCUAACUACGUGCCAGCAGCCGCGGUAAUACGUAGGUGGCAAGCGUUGUCCGGAUUUACUGGGUGUAAAGGGUGCGCAGGCGGGACUGCAAGUUGGAUGUGAAAUACCGAGGCUUAACCUCGGGGCUGCAUCCAAAACUGUAGUUCUUGAGUGGAGUAGAGGUUAGCGGAAUUCCGAGUGUAGCGGUGAAAUGCGUAGAUAUUCGGAGGAACACCAGUGGCGAAGGCGGCUUACUGGGGACUAAUCGACGCUCAUGCUCGAAAGUGCGGGUAGCAAACAGGAUUAGAUACCCUGGUA